UUAAGCGACUAAGCGUACACGGUGGAUGCCCUGGCAGUCAGAGGCGAUGAAGGACGUGCUAAUCUGCGAUAAGCGCCGGUAAGGUGAUAUGAACCGUUAUAACCGGCGAUUUCCGAAUGGGGAAACCCAGUGUGACUCGUCACACUAUCAUUAACUGAAUCCAUAGGUUAAUGAGGCGAACCGGGGGAACUGAAACAUCUAAGUACCCCGAGGAAAAGAAAUCAACCGAGAUUCCCCCAGUAGCGGCGAGCGAACGGGGAGGAGCCCAGAGCCUGAAUCAGCAUGUGUGUUAGUGGAAGCGUCUGGAAAGGCGCGCGAUACAGGGUGACAGCCCCGUACACAAAAGCGCAUGUGCUGUGAGCUCGAUGAGUAGGGCGGGACACGUGGUAUCCUGUCUGAAUAUGGGGGGACCAUCCUCCAAGGCUAAAUACUCCUGACUGACCGAUAGUGAACCAGUACCGUGAGGGAAAGGCGAAAAGAACCCCGGCGAGGGGAGUGAAAAAGAACCUGAAACCGUGUACGUACAAGCAGUGGGAGCACCCUUUGGGGUGUGACUGCGUACCUUUUGUAUAAUGGGUCAGCGACUUAUAUUCUGUAGCAAGGUUAACCGAAUAGGGGAGCCGGAGGGAAACCGAGUCUUAAUUGGGCGUUAAGUUGCAGGGUAUAGACCCGAAACCCGGUGAUCUAGCCAUGGGCAGGUUGAAGGUUGGGUAACACUAACUGGAGGACCGAACCGACUAAUGUUGAAAAAUUAGCGGAUGACCUGUGGCUGGGGGUGAAAGGCCAAUCAAACCGGGAGAUAGCUGGUUCUCCCCGAAAGCUAUUUAGGUAGCGCCUCGUGAAUUCAUCUCCGGGGGUAGAGCACUGUUUCGGCUAGGGGGCCAUCCCGGCUUACCAACCCGAUGCAAACUGCGAAUACCGGAGAAUGUUAUCACGGGAGACACACGGCGGGUGCUAACGUCCGUCGUGAAGAGGGAAACAACCCAGACCGCCAGCUAAGGUCCCAAAGUCAUGGUUAAGUGGGAAACGAUGUGGGAAGGCCCAGACAGCCAGGAUGUUGGCUUAGAAGCAGCCAUCAUUUAAAGAAAGCGUAAUAGCUCACUGGUCGAGUCGGCCUGCGCGGAAGAUGUAACGGGGCUAAACCAUGCACCGAAGCUGCGGCAGCGACGCUGAUGCGUUGUUGGGUAGGGGAGCGUUCUGUAAGCCUGCGAAGGUGGCCUGUGAGGGUUGCUGGAGGUAUCAGAAGUGCGAAUGCUGACAUAAGUAACGAUAAAGCGGGUGAAAAGCCCGCUCGCCGGAAGACCAAGGGUUCCUGUCCAACGUUAAUCGGGGCAGGGUGAGUCGACCCCUAAGGCGAGGCCGAAAGGCGUAGUCGAUGGGAAACGGGUUAAUAUUCCCGUACUUGGUGUUACUGCGAAGGGGGGACGGAGAAGGCUAUGUUGGCCGGGCGACGGUUGUCCCGGUUUAAGCGUGUAGGUGUGUGUUCCAGGUAAAUCCGGUUCACUUUAACACUGAGGCGUGAUGACGAGGCACUACGGUGCUGAAGCAACAAAUGCCCUGCUUCCAGGAAAAGCCUCUAAGCAUCAGGUAACAUCAAAUCGUACCCCAAACCGACACAGGUGGUCAGGUAGAGAAUACCAAGGCGCUUGAGAGAACUCGGGUGAAGGAACUAGGCAAAAUGGUGCCGUAACUUCGGGAGAAGGCACGCUGACACGUAGGUGAAGUGAUUUACUCAUGGAGCUGAAGUCAGUCGAAGAUACCAGCUGGCUGCAACUGUUUAUUAAAAACACAGCACUGUGCAAACACGAAAGUGGACGUAUACGGUGUGACGCCUGCCCGGUGCCGGAAGGUUAAUUGAUGGGGUCAGCGCAAGCGAAGCUCCUGAUCGAAGCCCCGGUAAACGGCGGCCGUAACUAUAACGGUCCUAAGGUAGCGAAAUUCCUUGUCGGGUAAGUUCCGACCUGCACGAAUGGCGUAAUGAUGGCCAGGCUGUCUCCACCCGAGACUCAGUGAAAUUGAACUCGCUGUGAAGAUGCAGUGUACCCGCGGCAAGACGGAAAGACCCCGUGAACCUUUACUAUAGCUUGACACUGAACAUUGAGCCUUGAUGUGUAGGAUAGGUGGGAGGCUUUGAAGUGUGGACGCCAGUCUGCAUGGAGCCGGCCUUGAAAUACCACCCUUUAAUGUUUGAUGUUCUAACGUGGACCCGUGAUCCGGGUUGCGGACAGUGUCUGGUGGGUAGUUUGACUGGGGCGGUCUCCUCCUAAAGAGUAACGGAGGAGCACGAAGGUUGGCUAAUCCUGGUCGGACAUCAGGAGGUUAGUGCAAUGGCAUAAGCCAGCUUGACUGCGAGCGUGACGGCGCGAGCAGGUGCGAAAGCAGGUCAUAGUGAUCCGGUGGUUCUGAAUGGAAGGGCCAUCGCUCAACGGAUAAAAGGUACUCCGGGGAUAACAGGCUGAUACCGCCCAAGAGUUCAUAUCGACGGCGGUGUUUGGCACCUCGAUGUCGGCUCAUCACAUCCUGGGGCUGAAGUAGGUCCCAAGGGUAUGGCUGUUCGCCAUUUAAAGUGGUACGCGAGCUGGGUUUAGAACGUCGUGAGACAGUUCGGUCCCUAUCUGCCGUGGGCGCUGGAGAACUGAGGGGGGCUGCUCCUAGUACGAGAGGACCGGAGUGGACGCAUCACUGGUGUUCGGGUUGUCAUGCCAAUGGCACUGCCCGGUAGCUAAAUGCGGAAGAGAUAAGUGCUGAAAGCAUCUAAGCACGAAACUUGCCCCGAGAUGAGUUCUCCCUGAGACUUAGAGUCUCCUGAAGGAACGUUGAAGACGACGACGUUGAUAGGCCGGGUGUGUAAGCGCAGCGAUGCGUUGAGCUAACCGGUACUAAUGAACCGUGAGGCUUAACCUU
rnacentral:rRNA from 1 species